GAUGAACGCUGGCGGCGUGCCUAAUACAUGCAAGUCGAGCGAACAGAUGAGAAGCUUGCUUCUCUGAUGUUAGCGGCGGACGGGUGAGUAACACGUGGGUAACCUACCUAUAAGACUGGGAUAACUCCGGGAAACCGGGGCUAAUACCCGAUAAUAUUUUGAACCGCAUGGUUCAAUAGUGAAAGACGGUUUCGGCUGUCACUUAUAGAUGGACCCGCGCCGUAUUAGCUAGUUGGUAAGGUAACGGCUUACCAAGGCGACGAUACGUAGCCGACCUGAGAGGGUGAUCGGACACACUGGAACUGAGACACGGUCCAGACUCCUACGGGAGGCAGCAGUAGGGAAUCUUCCGCAAUGGGCGAAAGCCUGACGGAGCAACGCCGCGUGAGUGAUGAAGGUCUUCGGAUCGUAAAACCCUGUUGUUAGGGAAGAACAAAUUUGUUAGUAACUGAACAAGUCUUGACGGUACCUAACCAGAAAGCCACGGCUAACUACGUGCCAGCAGCCGCCGUAA
rnacentral:rRNA from 1 species